rnacentral:rRNA from 1 species
GAUGAACGCUGGCGGCGUGCCUAAUACAUGCAAGUCGAGCGAACAGACGAGGGGAUUGCUCCUCUGACGUUGGCGGCGGGCGGGUGAGGAAUACGUGGGUAACCUAUCUUUAAGACUGGGGUAACUUCGGGAAACCGGAGACAGUACCGGAUCAUAUGUUGAAACGGAUGGUUCAAUAGUGCAAGGUGGUUUUGAUGUGACGUAUGCAUAGAUCCGCGCCGCAUUAGCUAGUUGGUAGCGUAAAGGCUUACCAAGGCGACGAUGCGUGGCCGACCUGAGAGGGUGACCAGCCACACUGGAACUGAGACACGGUCCAGACUCCUACGGGAGGCAGCAGUAGGGAAUUUUCCGCAAUGGGCGAAAGCCUGACGGAGCAACGCCGCGUGAGUGAUGAAGGUCUUCGGAUCGUAAAACUCUGUUAUUAGGAAAGAACAAAUGUGUAAUAAACUAUGCACGUCUUGACGGUACCUUAACAGAAAGCCACGGCUAACUACGUG